UCCUGUCAGUCUAGUGUCUUUCUUUUUGUUUGUUUUGUUUUGUUUUCAGAACACCACGAAAAAAAAAAUCAGAGCCCUCUUUCCUUUGAAGGAAGAUGGAUUUGAAAGGAAAAGAGUGUCUCCUGUUCCUGAGAGUGGGAGACCCCUUCGUUUGUGACCUUCUGGUGUUGCUUUAAGUCUCUUUGCAUGAAAACUUCCCUUCCCACCACAGAAGACUGGCUGCCCUGGCACUGCUGAAGCCUUACUCCAUGUAAAAGUGGUGUGAAUGUUAUUUAUUGGCCAUGGAAUAAAGUCCUGCUGAUCUUGGUGAUGGUCCAGGAUCAUUUAUGUUUCAGACUGUUCUUCUGAUGCAUCCUCAUAGUAACUCAUCUUACAGAUGAGAUGAGAUGAUUACAGAGAUGAGAAAACAGAGACCAUGGGCUGUGUAUACAUGAAUCCAACUGAUUAUUUAUUUAUGACAAGGAGAAUGUCAAAUAGGGAAGGGGAAUCUAUGCAAUAGAAGGAAGAAAAUGAGGGCUGAUUGAAAUGGAAUGAAUCGUUUGUUCUAAGAGGGAAACUAAGGAAAUGUCUUGAAGAGUGAACACAAAGGAAAUGCUAUCAGGAUUCUAGAAAUCUGUUUCAUGGUGGAACUCCUUUGGACCCUGCAUUUAAAUCCCUCUGUUUUCAAUUUAGACAUCAAAGUUUGGGAGUCACCAUCUUACGUGAGACUUACUAGUGUACCGUGACACAUUGGAAAGCCCGAUUGAGACCAGCUGGUGAAGCUUGUGUGGUCUCCUCGUCCUUACUCUUUUGAGUCUAGCCUGAGUGUUAGAGAAUGUAUGAUAAUCUAUACUAUUCAUCCAGCUCCACAGUCAGUAAGAAAGAGGAAUUCUCUUUGUGGAUUUUGUUAUAAACCUCUAGAAUACAAAUACAAACCCUUAAUGAAAUAAUGAAUGUGAGCAAACAUCUUCAGUGGUUGCUAACCUCACAGCGGGGGGAGGAGGCAAUAAAAAAUUAGGUGACUCCUGUUAGAAGUCUACAAUACCACCUAUAAAAUAUUUUUGUCAAAAAAAUAUCAAAGUUUUAUCAAAUCAGGCUUUAGGUUGAACCUAGUAAUUUACAGUGAAUAUAAGGGAAAGAGGAAUAUAUACAAAGGCAGCAUGGGGAUUUAUUCGUCAAAAUUCAGAAUGUGAGAAAGUCUAUAGGACAAACAAUCUGGUUUCCUUGGCACAUAAAUUGCAGGGGGAAAAGGGGGAGAAACUAUAAAUGAAAAGAGACAAUAAAUAUCAAACAAAAACCA